rnacentral:lncRNA from 1 species
CUCUUCAAAUUCUACAACAAAUUGUGAGGACAAUGAGAGCAGUGUGCCAGUUGAUCCAAGUGUGGUCUUUGUACCAUUUGGGCAUAUGGGAAUCAUUCUGGAGUUUGCCUGCUAGCACUCCUCUGUACAUCAGUAAAAGAACUAGUCAAUGCUAAAGAAAACCCAGAGCAGAGCAAACUUAGGGUCUGGCUCCAUCUUAUGCUGGAAUCUGGAGUUUUAAAGCAGCUAGAAGCAGAUCCUCAAAGAUAUUUAGCUCUUUAAAACAAGUGGAAAUCAGGCCACGCUUACCUGUAAAGCUUUGCUGUUUUGGGAAUUCCCAGAAGCACUUAAGUACCAAUUUUUUCCUAAGAAAGCUUUGAACUUGGGGGAUUGAGCAUUGCUUUCAGGUACCUAUCUACGUGCUUGGGUAUCUACAUAUCACCAGGAUUCCUGCCUGUGGAGGGAUGACAUCAUUGAAUCACAACAGAGCAAGCUAUCUGUGGUGUGGUGCUAUAAAUGCUGUACUCUGCUGGAGCUUACACCCCUGGUAGGACCAACCCUGAAAAAAGUAUUUUCCUCCAGGAGGUGCAGUGGUUAACUCGCAGAUCCAUCUUUCUUUCUGCAGCCAAGGUCUCUACCCCCCAGCAGUCUUCCCAGAUUCAUUUCAAACAGAAACUGAUAAUUAAAGAUAGAUGUUGGUUCACUCUAAUGAAAGUGUUUGUACAUUAA